GACAAUCCAACCUAGACGUAUAAUUUAUGUUUCACAUUAUAUAUAUAAUGUUGUACACCCUGACCUUCCCUAUAACAAAAUGGCGACUUCCAUGAAAUUGCUGAAAAGUUCGCGAAAUCUCUUUAAAUACUUUGUGGAGAGUCACAUGCGGACAUGCUGCAAUGUACGACACAUGUGCCAGAAAGCUGAAAGCCAAGCUGAGGGUUCUGAGGCUGGCGACCAUGUGAGUGAUGGAGAAGAGAUGGAAUAUGAGACCAGGCUGCGCAUCUUGCGCUCCUCCAUGGCAUUUGUACAUCAGCACGGCUGGACAGUGGACACACUCGCUGCAGGUGCGGAGGUGGAGGGUCUACCGGGCGUGGCCCACGGUCUGUUCCCCAGAGGUGGGGUUGAGCUGAUCUACCACUUCUACACAGACUGCAACAAGCAGCUUGCAAUGCAGCUGGCAGAGAGGGUGGCCCGGGAGAAGGAAUCCGAGCAGACCAACACACCGGGGAAGUCAAAGAUUACUCCAUUCAUCCGUGACGCAGUGGAGGCCAGGCUGAGGAUGAUCAUACCUUACAUUGACAGGUGGCCACAGGCUAUGGGUAUUCUAGCCCUUCCACCAAAUGCUCCACAAGCAUUGAAGAACCUGGGUGACCUUACAGAUGAAAUCUGGUACUACACUGGUGACACAUCUACUGAUUUUAAUUGGUACACAAAGCGAGCCACUCUGGGAGUUGUCUACAAGACCACAGAGGUGUUCAUGAUGCAGGACAAGUCAGACGACUAUCAAAACACCUGGGACUUCCUGGAUAGACGUAUGGGUGACAUCACCAGGGUGGGAAAACUUGUGAGAAAUGGUCAAGAAAUGACAUCUGUGCUUGGAGAGGCAUGUAAGGGUUUCACAAUAAUUGGAAGAAAUAUCUUGGGCGCGAACUCCGGAGCAAAGUGAUCUUUCAACAUAGUGUGGUCACAAUAUUUUGCCCUUUGAUCAGAGACUAUUUCUGUGUGUAAGACUUGUUCUUAUAGCCACUACAAUUGAGGCUAGUUCUGGUAAAAGUUGAUCCAUGCCUCAUUGUGAAGGUAUAUGUCAUCUUGUAGAUCUGACAGACAUUAUGUUAUACAAUUAUUUACUUACUCUUUGGAUAACUAAAAUGACUGUCGUAUACAGAAUACAUAUGAUUAUAUGUUAUUAUAGACGUAAUUUGCAAUUGUUUGAUUGUUUAUUAAAUGAAGGAUUAGUACUGAAUGCUUUUUGGCGAUGUAUAAGGUUUUAUAAGCAGUUUUCACACAAAGACGAACAAAAUGUUUGGUCUACACCAUUCCAUGCAACAUUAAAGUUUCUUACAUGCAAUCUUCAUAUGAGAAUAAAAUUAAUACGUCAGUGCAGGCUUGAUGUCAAGGACACUUAACCUUUUACCACUUUUUUUAUUUAUGAUUUUUUAUGAAUUUUUAGUCCCUAAGAAAGUUAAAUAUAAUUAAAGACCUUACUAGAUUCAAAUUCAAUUCCAACCGUACUGAUGAGUGGCAAACAGCAAAAAAAACUUUACAGGCUGCGGUUCACUCGCAGGCUGUUCUGGUUUUAUGCUGUUUGCACAUAGCCAUUUUCACUUUGUUUCUGAGUGGGAAAGGGUUAAUGGUAACAUGUUUGAGCCUCCAUAUGUUUGCACGCUUCGUAUUUCCUUAACCUUUUAAAGGGUUGUCAUGAAACUUGACUAACAUGUUUAGGACAUGAUAGGAUAUGCAGAAUGCAUUAGUCAGCUACGCAGUCACACUUGAAUAUCAUAAAAAGUCACAGCAUGGGUUAUGACUGCCUCGUUUAAAAUAUUUUAUAUAUGAUAAAAAAGAAAAUAAAAAUUUGCUAUUUCUCAAGUCAACUGUCAUUAAUGCUAUGUUCCCAGCGUGCACACAUCUGGUGAUCCUCAAGAGACACAUUUUUAAUUUAAUUUAGUUUCAUUUGUUCUCAUAGUUUCUUGAAGGAUGCUAAAAAUAUUGAAGCAUUAUGUAAUGAUGUAAUAUUUAUUACAUAUAAUGAUCUACAAAUACACAUUGAUUAGUACAAGUAACAAGGGCUGUUUGUAAAACAUGCAUGCCCCCCAUAUGGACUGUCAGUUGUAGUGGCAGCCAUUGUGUGAAUACGGUUUUUGUCACUUUGACCUAGUACUUGAAAAUCGAUAAGGGUCAUCUGCCAGUGAUGAUCAAUGUGCCUAUGAAGUUUCAUGAUCCUAGGCGUAAUUAUUCUCGAGUUAUCAUUAGGAAACCAUUUUACUGUUUUGAGUCACUGUGACCUUGACCUCCGUCCUAUUGACCUGAAAAUUCAUAGGGGUCAUCUGCCAGUCAUGAUCAAUGUACCUAUAAAGUUUCAUUAUCCUAGGCGUAAGCAUUCUUGAGUUAUCAUCCGGAAACCAUUUUACUAUUUCGAGUCACUGUGACCUUGACCUAGUGACCUGAAAAUCAAUAGGGGUCAUCUGCCAGUCAUGAUCAAUGUUCCUAUUAAGUUUCAUGAUCCUAGGCGUAAGCAUUCUUGAGUUUAUAUCAUCCGGAAAUCAUUUUACUAUUUCGAGUCACUGUGACCUUUACCUUUGAUCUAGUGACCUGAAAAUCAAUAGGGGUCAUCUGCCAGUCAUGGUCAAUGUACCUAUGAAGUUUCAUGAUCCUAGGCCUACGCAUUCUUGAGUUAUCAUCCGGAAACCAUUUUACUAUUUCGAGUCGAUGUGACCUUGACCUUUAACCUAGUGACCUGAAAAUCAAUGGGGGUUAUCUGCCAGUCAUGAUCAAUGUAUCUAUGAAGUUUCAUGAUCCUAGGCCUAAGCAUUCUUGAGUUAUCAUCCAGAAACCAUCUGGUGGACGGACUGACCGACCGACGGACCGACAUGUGCAAAACAAUAUACCCCCUCGUCUUCGAAGGGGUGCAUAAAUAUAAUAAUGUUUCUGUGUGACAAAAAUAUAACUGCUGUAUAACACCAUUUAAACUUAAACCAUCUAGACAAUAAAAACAACAAAGUACACAUGGACUGUACACAAGAUCACAUUUCACACUUAAACCAUCAGUUUUCAAACAGUCAUCCUGAGGUGCAAGGACCAUACAUAAUCAGAAUCCAGCUCUGCAAAGUUUAAAAUGAAUACAAAUUUAGAUUGUUACAUUACAUGUAAAGGGUAAAAUGUUUAUCGACUUUACUUUUCGUUUUUUAUGCCCCUGGUAGGAUGGCAUAUAGCAGUUGCACCGUCCGUCUGUCUGACCAUCACACUUUUGCGUUUAGGUUUCGAAAAAUGCUCAUAACUUCUAUGUCCAUUCAGAUGUAACCUUCAUAUUUGGUAGGCAUGUGUAUAUGGACAAGGCCCUUCCAUACGCAUACAAAUUUUGACCUUGACCUUAGGGUCCGCGUUUAGGUUUCACAAUCUGGGUUUA